GGUAACUCACUACUUUGAAUCAGGUGUUGAUUUAUUUGAUUCUACCAUGAAUUAUCUGGAUCACAAGAAGCCAUUUGUGGGUUAAUUGCCCUUCUGCUGGGCAAAUCUGCUCUUCAACCCUUGAACAAGUUCUUUGAACUCUCAAAUACCCUGAAAAGGAAACUGAGAAAGAUUACUAGUCAACAAACAUUUAUUAAGGGUUUAUUAUGUGCCAGGUACUAAGUGCUGGGGAUACCAAUGCAAGAAAGAAGAUAAAGUCCCUGUGCUCAGGGAGCUUACAUUGUAAUGGGAAAAGAUCAGGGAGCUGAAAAACAGGGAGAAGAGGAAAGUAUUCUCAUGGAAUGAUAGGGUGAAGAAUUUCAGAGAAUGAAGGAUGGACUUUCCUCAAAAUAGACAUCCUAGGAGGAACUUACCAAUGGGAGAAGGGAGAUACAAGAGCAGAAGGAGAAGACAAUCAAAGUAUGGUGAUAAAAUGAAGUAUGGCUGAUCUGAGGUCUUCAAGUUGGAGAUUCUGGGAGGAAUUGCCAGUGGGAGAGGAGGACCCCAAGAGGCCAGAAAGACCCGAAGAAAAUGAAGAGACAAGAUGUCUUUUACCAGCUGCAGCCCAACUCUCAUUGAGGAAGAAAUGGGAAGCAGCAUGGACCAGGUAAGUUGAACUACCUCCACCACUUUGACCAUAUUUUCCUCUUGGAUACUGAUGGAAAGAGCCCAGGAAGCUAUACUCAAGACCCUAGGGAAUAUCAGGAUCUCCCAAAGCAACAGACUAAUUAAUUUCAGCCUAUUCUUUGAAGCCACCAUUGAGGAGAGAAAUCAUCAUAGCAAAAGAGUUCAUCUCACUCAACAACUGCUGACCAUCUGCCACCCUCCAAAUGUCAAUCCACUUCCCGUCCAGCCCUGGGGAAGUUACUCUUAUGGAGAUGGAUGCAGCGAUCCUCAACCCCCAGGAAUCAAAGGUAGGUGCUGGGCAGGCAAACUAGGCUAGCUAAGCAGGAAGGUACUCUGAGGGAGAUGCAGGAGGCAGUAUGUGCCAGCAAAGUCAAAGCACUGGGACCACCUCAAGCGCCAUUUCUCCUAAGAUCCCAAUGGAGACCAUUCAGAACUUGAACCUUAGAGCCUCGAGAAUAGCAGCACUGCCAGCUCAGUGUUUCCAGACAUUCUCCUGGGCAGCAAUCCUUGGGAUGAGGCAGCUGAGCAACUUUACUUUCAAGCAGCUACAUCGAUUGCAGACCCAGAAAGAAAGUGCUUGUUGUAAAAGUCUUUGGCUCUGUCAAAUAGUCCAAUAUCAUAAACUGAGAUGAUUUUAUCAAUGAUGAAGCAGAAGUCAUUAGCUUUGCCCAGAUCCUCUCCUCCUCCCAACUAUCCUAUUGCUGUUGGGCACAACGCGCCCCCAGUCAAACAGACUUACAGCUUUAGCGGCGUCACCAACUCUUCAUUCACCCACAAAUCCAAUCUGUUGCCACUUCUUGUUUCUGCCUUUAUACCAUAUCUUGAAUACAUCUUCUCACCCCUCACAGGUCCAGCAGCCUGGUGCGGGUCUUCACUGUUUCAUGGCAGAGCUGCUUGCCUCUUCCCACUCCAUCCUCAACUCAGUUCCCAAAAGGAUCUCCCUAGAGUAGUUUGGACUGUCACAUUUCCUCCUUACUGAACUCCAAUUCACUGUGUCACUAGAGACUCCCUUUUCCUUUUAGAAAUAAAUAGAAAAUUCUCUGCCAUUAAAAUCUCUUCAGAACCUCAUUCUGCCCUCCCUUUUACAGUCUUCUCAUGCUUAAUUCCAGGCACUGCCCAAUUUGGUGCCCUGGGCUUUAUUGCUGUUUCUGGCAUAUAACAGCAUCUUUCAUCUCUGUACCUUUUCAUGGUGCUCCCCCGGGCUUGGAAAGCUCUCUCCCUUUGCC